rnacentral:misc_RNA from 1 species
CCAAACUUGGUCAUUUAGAGGAAGUAAAAGUCGUAACAAGGUUUCCGUAGGUGAACCUGCGGAAGGAUCAUUACUGAAGAUUUGGCCUUCGGGUCGCUCUUCCACCCUUUGUUUACCUUUACCAUGUUGCUUUGGCGGGCCGCCUUAGGCCACCGGCUCCCGGGCUGGUGAGCGCCCGCCAGAGACACCCUUAACCCUAACCAUUUUGACGUUUGUCUGAGAAAAAACUUAAUUGUUAAAACUUUCAACAACGGAUCUCUUGGCUCUGGCAUCGAUGAAGAACGCAGC